rnacentral:rRNA from 1 species
UACAGAGGUCUCAAGCGUUGUUCGGAUUUACUGGGCGUAAAGGGCGCGUAGGCGGCGCGGUAAGUCACUUGUGAAAUCUCUGAGCUUAACUCAGAACGGCCAAGUGAUACUGCAGUGCUAGAGUGCAGAAAGGGCAAUCGGAAUUCUUGGUGUAGCGGUGAAAUGCGUAGAUAUCAAGAGGAACACCUGAGGCGAAGGCGGGUUGCUAGGCUGACACUGACGCUGAGGCGCGAAAGCCAGGGGAGCAAACGGG